GAAUAUUGGUCAAUGGACGCAAGUCUGAACCAGCCAUGCCGCGUGAAGGAUGAAGGCCUUCUGGGUUGUAAACUUCUUUUAUUGGGGAAGAAAAUUACGGUUUCUACUGUAACCGACGGUACCCAAGGAAUCAGCACCGGCUAACUCCGUGCCAGCAGCCGCGGUAAUACGGAGGGUGCAAGCGUUAUCCGGAUUCACUGGGUUUAAAGGGUGUGUAGGCGGGUAUUUAAGUCAGUGGUGAAAUCUCCGGGCUCAACCCGGAAACUGCCGUUGAUACUAUUUAUCUUGAAUCUUGUUGAGGUGGGCGGAAUAUAUCAUGUAGCGGUGAAAUGCUUAGAUAUGAUAUAGAACACCUAUUGCGAAGGCAGCUCACUAAACAAGCAUUGACGCUGAGGCACGAAAGCGUGGGGAUCAAACAGG
rnacentral:rRNA from 1 species